rnacentral:rRNA from 1 species
AAAUUGAAGAGUUUGAUCAUGGCUCAGAUUGAACGCUGGCGGCAGGCCUAACACAUGCAAGUCGAACGGUAACAGGAAGCAGCUUGCUGCUUCGCUGACGAGUGGCGGACGGGUGAGUAAUGUCUGGGAAACUGCCUGAUGGAGGGGGAUAACUACUGGAAACGGUGGCUAAUACCGCAUAACGUCGCAAGACCAAAGAGGGGGACCUUCGGGCCUCUUGCCAUCAGAUGUGCCCAGAUGGGAUUAGCUAGUUGGUGAGGUAACGGCUCACCAAGGCGACGAUCCCUAGCUGGUCUGAGAGGAUGACCAGCCACACUGGAACUGAGACACGGUCCAGACUCCUACGGGAGGCAGCAGUGGGGAAUAUUGCACAAUGGGCGCAAGCCUGAUGCAGCCAUGCCGCGUGUAUGAAGAAGGCCUUCGGGUUGUAAAGUACUUUCAGCGGGGAGGAAGGUGUUGUGGUUAAUAACCGCAGCAAUUGACGUUACCCGCAGAAGAAGCACCGGCUAACUCCGUGCCAGCAGCCGCGGUAAUACGGAGGGUGCAAGCGUUAAUCGGAAUUACUGGGCGUAAAGCGCACGCAGGCGGUCUGUCAAGUCGGAUGUGAAAUCCCCGGGCUCAACCUGGGAACUGCAUUCGAAACUGGCAGGCUUGAGUCUUGUAGAGGGGGGUAGAAUUCCAGGUGUAGCGGUGAAAUGCGUAGAGAUCUGGAGGAAUACCGGUGGCGAAGGCGGCCCCCUGGACAAAGACUGACGCUCAGGUGCGAAAGCGUGGGGAGCAAACAGGAUUAGAUACCCUGGUAGUCCACGCCGUAAACGAUGUCUACUUGGAGGUUGUGCCCUUGAGGCGUGGCUUCCGGAGCUAACGCGUUAAGUAGACCGCCUGGGGAGUACGGCCGCAAGGUUAAAACUCAAAUGAAUUGACGGGGGCCCGCACAAGCGGUGGAGCAUGUGGUUUAAUUCGAUGCAACGCGAAGAACCUUACCUGGUCUUGACAUCCACGGAAAUUUUCAGAGAUGAGAAUGUGCCUUCGGGAAC